rnacentral:rRNA from 1 species
UACGUAGGGACCAAGCGUUGUUCGGAUUUACUGGGCGUAAAGGGCGCGUAGGCGGCUUAACAAGUCACUUGUGAAAUCUCCGGGCUUAACUCGGAACGGCCAAGUGAAACUGUCAAGCUAGAGUGCAGAAGGGGCAAUCGGAAUUCCCGGUGUAGUGGUGAAAUGCGUAGAUAUCGGGAGGAACACCAGUGGCGAAGGCGGCUACCUGGCCCACUCUUGACGCUGAGGCGCGAAAGCUAGGGGAGCAAACGGG